GACAGAGGUGCCAAGCGUUAGGCGGAAUCACUGGGCUUAAAGCGUGUGUAGGCGGAUGCCUAAGUACCUUGUGAAAUCCCACGGCUCAACCGUGGAACUGCUUGGUAUACUGGGUGUCUUGAGCCAUCUAGGGGGCUACCGGAACAAAUGGUGGAGCGGGUGAAAAUGCGUAGAUAUCAUUUGGAACGCCAAUGGUGAAAACAGGUAGCUGGGGAUGUGCUGACGCUGAGACACGAAAGCCAGGGGAGCAAACGGG
rnacentral:rRNA from 1 species